CUCAGCUCAAUAGAAAGCUCAAGUCCUAUACAGUUGUCAGUUCAGUUGAACCAGAGGUUCAAUUACGCUGUGUAGCUGCUCCAGGGUAGCCUCUGCCUCAGAAGAAGACAAGAUAAGUGAUUGAUCUGCCACUGAUGCUCUGCCCCCAGGAGCUUUUCUUUCUCCAUUCCUGGCUCCUGGAGGAUAUACAUCUUUCCACACCAAUAGACCUUGUUUUCCGAUGUAGCAUUAUUUUUCAUAGUUGGCGAAUAUACAGUUAUGGAUUCAUAACAGCAAGAUGGAGAAAUUGCACUGCAGAGAAAUCUUUAAAAGCAAUUACCUAAUACUGCAGAUUGCUGAACUGUACCCACACCCAAGACUGAGCAUUGGAUCAAUCCAGAAUAUACAUCAGGUGUUCUGCAAUGUCUGCCUAAAACCAUGACUCUGCCUCCUCCAGCUGUUGCUACAUCUCACUAUGGGUUUCCUGUGACAUUUUGAGCAAGUAUGCCUCUGUGACUGGGGUUCUUACACUCCAGAAUGGAUGAGAAGCACCGUAAGUGGCUUUUAAAAUGAAUAUUCCCUGGCCCUUCAGUCGCUCUAUAGGUCAAGAAUCUGAAUUCUCAACCUGUCUAGAAGGUUCUGGUUUUAAUGGUCUGUGGGCUGCACAUUGAGAAACCUGUUCAGCGAGUGCAACAAAGGUUCCACAUGUGAGAAAGGAAGCAUCAGGUCUCUUGAGCCUGUUCUUUAAUCUGUAGGCUGCACCUUCUCUUUAAAUUCUGCUAAUAACACCAUGCGAGAAAACACCCGAGCUUGAAAAGCCCAUGUUCCAACAUAACUGUCCUUCACCACUCUGGAAAAUUAAUGGUUUGUUUCGAUUAUCCCUUUGUUAAACUCCAAAGUCAAAGAGCUCUGAAAGGCAUACGGUUAUUUUAAGUUUCAGGUGAUUUCUGUUGCCAAAUAUUUUAAAAAUUUAAAAUUGCUACGUGACCUCUUAGUAGUACUAUUAGAUUUCCUGACAAUAAAAAUAAGUCUUUUGGUUUCACCAUUUAUAGUUAGUACAGCUAAUAUUAAGUAUAAUUUUAAAAGCCUUUUAUUUUCUCAGAAAGAAAAAAUAAUCAAAAUCUGCUCAGUGUGGUAUUGAAUAAUUAAAAACAAAAGAACAGUAUCUUCACAUUAGUGUUUAAUAUUAAUUGCUUUUUUACCCUUGACACUGGUGCUAAUUAAAUUUUCAUUUUAUUUUCCAUGACUUGUUUAAACAGUUUUUGCAAAUUAUUGCUAAUCAGCCUAAUAAAACUGAAUCACCUAUUAAACAAUUUUGUUUUGAAUUAAAUGGCAUUAAAAUAAUUCUGGCUGCCUUGUGUUAUAAUGUGUUACAAGAAUACCAACCGCUACAGGUAAUAUG
rnacentral:lncRNA from 1 species